rnacentral:lncRNA from 1 species
GGACAGAGUCGCCCUAUCCAAGGUCCACAAGUUGGUGUGUCAGUGACCUUGUGGAUGCAUGACCUUGUGAAUGCCUGGAGUGAUCCACAGAUCUGCAACAAGUACCAACAUCAAUAAUGGCAUCUGGACAGGCAAUUCUAAGCCUUUUACAUGCAGUCUUUCACUUCGCGGCCACUCUGAGAUGAUUCCUGUUUUACAGAUGAGGAACCGAAGCUCAGGGAGAAUUUGCUCAAAGCCACACAGAUAAAGACGUAAAGGAAAAGCAAGAACCCAAGACAUCUUCCUAUUGCUUGCCCUGGGGCAGGAAAAGAAUGUUCAGGUGCUGGACUCCCCCACCUCCACUCCCACCUCUACCCCCACCCCCACCCCCAACGCUUUUGCCCAGGCAGAAGGAAUGAAUGCGAGCCCAACACUAGGCUGUGGUCCUGGCGGUUCCCACCCUUUGUUCAGGGUUAGAAUGGUGAUCUUGGCAAGCGGAUGGCUCUACAGCCUCUCUAGUCAGUACCCUUCUGCCUGGUACGGCCUGGAUGCCACCGGCCGGGAUGCCACACCCCUUGGAUUCUAGAAAACGAAAUACUGGCAGCCAAGUUACUUGGGCAGCACACUGCCCCCUGGUGGUGAAAGGAAGACAACUUCAGAGAGCUCCUUGGAUUGUUACCACGUAUGGACAUAGACACAGAAAUAGCUGGCCCUCUGGCCAUUAGCAUGAAUCAUCAAUAAAUAUUUAGG